rnacentral:lncRNA from 1 species
CCCCCAUCAUACCAUAUACCAUACAAUCACAUAGCAUACAUACUGUCGGGCAAUUCUGGGGUGCCCGACCUACCCGUGUCAAGCCAUUCUGGGGUGCUGACCUACCCGUGUCAAGCCAUUCUGGGGUGCUGACCAACCCAUGUCAAGCCAUUCUGGGGUGCUGACCAACCCAUGUCAAGCCAUUCUGGGGUGCUGACCAACCCGUCGGUCCUAACAACCGACCCUCGGGGACUAUUCCACCCCCUACUGCUACUAUCACAUAUAUCAUAACAUAAACAUACUAUCAGACAUAUAUGGGGUGCCUGAACUACUCUUCGGUCCUAACAACCGAACACGGGGACUGGUCCCCUCAUACUACCUCUAUCGCAUAUAACAUAACAAGCCAGCAUGCAAACAUAUCAUCACAUACUGUCAGACGUAUCUGGGGUGUCUGACUACCCUUCGGUCCUAACAACCGAACUCGACUACUAUCACAUACAACAUAUCAUACUAGCAUAUAACAUAUCAGGUACUAGCGAACUUAGAUGAUAUCACAAAGACAAUCAUCUAUCAUACAACUCCUACUGGUGGGUCGGCAUUGUGGCCUUAGACCCACCGCUACUGGAAGGUAACUCACCUGAUAUUGCCGAACUGCCGCUGCUAACCCCUUCGACCGCUACCUGACCGCUAACUCCGAAUUGCUGCUCCGCUAGCUCCCCAAGCUACCAACAACAACCCAACACUUAGUCUAACUGACCUCCAAAGGUUAACC